GAGUUUAAAAUGUACCUGGCUAUGACAUCUGUCACCCCAUUGAUCACCAAGUUGAUUUGGCCGAUCUAGCUGGCUAGGCCGGAGUCCUUCCUCCCUCACCCACUCAUGUGUGUCACUCCAGAAGCUGCGCACUUGGUCAAAGAGGAAGAUGUUCCCUAUAUGGAGGAGGAUCUGGCUCUAGUCAAGGUGUAUGAGUAGCUGCGCUCUCUGCUAGAACCUCCAAACAAGCUCAAGGCAGUAAUUAUUGAUAAUAGGAUAUUGGUAAGAAAUAAAUCAGUUAUGAGAACGUUUAAUUCGGCAGAAGAGAAGACUCAGUGCUUCAGAUAUGUUUUUUUUUCUGU
rnacentral:snRNA from 1 species